UACGUAGGGGCGAGCGUUGUCCGGAUUUAUUGGGCGUAAAAGGCUUGUAGGUGGCCACGUCAAGUCGGCUGUGAAAUCUCCCGGCUCAACUGGGAGGGGUCAGUCGAUACUGGCGGGCUCGAGGCCGGUAGGGGAAGCGGAAUUCCGGUGUAGUGGUGGAAUGCGUAGAUAUCGGGAGGAACACCAGUGGCGAAGGCAGGUCUCUGGGCAUUAACGUGACGCUGAGG
rnacentral:rRNA from 1 species